rnacentral:rRNA from 1 species
AGAGUUUGAUCAUGGCUCAGGGUGAACGCUGGCGACGUGCCUAAAACAUGCAAGUCGAGCGGAGUCUUCGGGCUCAGCGGCGAACGGCGGAGUAAUGCAUAAGUAACGUGCCUCAAAGACUGGGAUAGCCAGCCGAAAGGCUGAGUAAUACCAGAUGUGGUUUCCAAUUGGCAUCUUUUGAAAACUAAACGGAUUUAUUCACUUUGAGAGCGACUUGUGUUCUAUCAGCUUGUUGGUAGGGUAAAAGCUUACCAAGGCUAUGACGGAUAGGGGGUCUGAGAGGAUGAUCCCCCCGAGUGGGACUGAGACACGGCCCACACACCUACGGGUGGCAGCAGUUAGGAAUCUUGCACAAUGGGGGAAACCCUGAUGCAGCGACGCCGCGUGGAGGAUGACGGCCUUAGGGUUGUAAACUCCUUUUUGCAGGAAAGACUUAGGACGGUACCUGCAGAAUAAGCUCCGGCUAACUACGUGCCAGCAGCCGCGGUAAGACGUAGGGAGCAAGCGUUACCCGGAUUUACUGGGCGUAAAGGGCGCGUAGGCGGCUUGUUAAGUGAAAAGUGAAAUCUCUGAGCUCAACUCAGAACGUGCUUCUCAUACUGACAGGCUAGAGGAAUACAGAAGUGAAUGGAAUUCCCGGUGUAGCGGUGACAUGCAUUGAUAUCGGGAGGAACACCAGCGGCGAAGGCGGUUCACUGGGUAUUACCUGACGCUGAUGCGCGAAAGCGUGGGGAGCAAACAGAAUUAGAUACUCUGGUAGUCCACGCUGUAAACGAUGGAUACUAGACGGUGGAAGAAUAAACUUUUUCUCUGUCGUAGCUAACGCAUUAAGUAUCCCGCCUAGGGAGUACGACCGCAAGGUUGAAACUCAAAUGAAUUGACGGGGACCCGCACAAGCGGUGGAGCAUGUGGAUUAAUUCGAUAAUAACCGAAGAACCUUACCCAGGUUUGACAUUGCGGGUAAUCUGCAGAAAUGUAGUCCUCUAUCCAAAAGAUAGACCCAAAAACAUCUGUUGCAUGGCUGUCGUCAGCUCGUGCCGUGAGGUGUUUGGUUAAGUCCAGCAACGAGCGCAACCCUCGUUCUAUGUUACCAGCGAGUAAUGUCGGGGACUCAUAGAAGACUGCCGGUGUAAGCCGGAGGAAGGUGGGGAUGAUGUCAAGUCAGCAUGGCGAUUACACCUGGGGCUUCACACAUGCUACAAUGGGCGAAACAAUGAGCAGCAAUACCGUGAGGUGGAGCUAAUCUCAAAAAUACGUCCUCAGUUCAGAUUGUAGUCUGCAAUUCGACUACAUGAAGGCGGAAUCGCUAGUAAACGCAGGUCAGCUAUACUGCGUUGAAUACGUUCUCGGGUCUUGUACACACCGCCCGUCAAGUCAACCGAAUUGUUUGCACCCGAAGCCAGUGGCCCAACCGUAAGGAGGGAGCUGUCUAAGGUGUGGGGAGUAAGGGGGACUAAGUCGUAACAAGGUAACC